ACGGGGGGGGCAAGCGUUGUCCGGAAUUACUGGGCGUAAAGGGCGCGUAGGUGGCUGUGUAAGUCGGGGGUGAAAUGCUGCGGCUCAACCGCAGCGCUGCCUCCGAGACUGCACGGCUUGAGCACGGUAGAGGCCGAUGGAAUUCCCGGUGUAGCGGUGGAAUGCGUAGAGAUCGGGAAGAACACCGAUGGCGAAGGCAGUCGGCUGGGCCGUUGCUGACACUGAGGCGCGACAGCGUGGGGAGCAAACAGGA
rnacentral:rRNA from 1 species